GGAUUAACCACAUGAGAGACGGAUUCAAUCAAAGUCAACCUGAAAGUCUUCAUUCACUCUUCAGGACCGGCCAAUGUCAUGGUGCUGCCUCCAAUGAAAGCCAGAGCAUUGGCGGAAUGAAGUACUACACAAUAAAAAAAAUAAAGUGAC